GGCCUUCUGUAUCCGUGCUGAGAUUUCGUCAGCGAUUAACCUGUUGGGGCUGAUGCAACUCCCCAAAUAAGUGAAGUC
rnacentral:pre_miRNA from 1 species